rnacentral:rRNA from 1 species
UAGUAUUCCUUCGAGGUGAACCUGCGGAAGGAUCAUUA